rnacentral:lncRNA from 1 species
UUUGGAUCUAUAAUUUAAAUAUGUGUAUUUGUAUCUAUAUCUAAACUUUCAACAUUAUUUGCACUACAACGUUUGACAUGCUUUCAAUCGUGAAUCCAUUUUCAAGUGUAAUCAAUUGUCACGCGUAAUCCAUUUUCAAGUGUAAUCAAUUUUCAUGCGUAAUCUAUUUUCAAGUGUAAUCAAUUUUCACGCGUAAUCCAUUGUCAAGUGUAAUCCAUUUUCAUGCGUAAUAUGAUGCAGAUGGACCGGCAAUGGAUGUAUAAUGUAGACAGGCGGAGCAAGGUGUUUA